UACGAAGGGUGCAAGCGUUGCUCGGAAUCAUUGGGCGUAAAGCGCACGUAGGCGGCUUCGCAAGUCGGAUGUGAAAUCCCUCGGCUCAACCGAGGACGUGCAUCCGAAACUGCGAAGCUUGAGUACUGAAGAGGAUCGCGGAAUUCCCGGUGUAGAGGUGAAAUUCGUAGAUAUCGGGAGGAACACCGGUGGCGAAGGCGGCGAUCUGGGUCGAUACUGACGCUGAGGUGCGAAAGCGUGGGGAGCAAACAGG
rnacentral:rRNA from 1 species